CCUACGGGAGGCAGCAGUGAGGAAUAUUGGUCAAUGGAGGCAACUCUGAACCAGCCAAGUAGCGUGCAGGAUGACGGCCCUGUGGAUUGUAAACCUCUUUUGUGCGGGGAUAAACUGUGUCACGCGUGGCUUGUUGCGUGUACCUCAUGAAUAAGCACCGGCUAAUUCCGUGCCAGCAGCCGCGGUAAUACGGAAGGUGCGGGCGUUAUCCGGAUUUAUUGGGUUUAAAGGGAGCGCAGGCCGGCCUUUAAGCGUGUUGUGAAAGGCCGGGGCUCAACCCCGGCACUGCAGUGGAAACUGGCGGUCUCGAGUGCGCGGGAGGUAGGCGGAAUUCGCGGUGUAGCGGUGAAAUGCUUAGAUAUCGCGAAGAACUCCGAUUGCGAAGGCAGCAUACCGGCGCCUCACUGACGCUGAGGCUCGAAGGUGCGGGUAUCGAACAGGAUUAGAUACCCUGGUAGUC
rnacentral:rRNA from 1 species